UAAUGUCUGGGAAACUGCCUGAUGGAGGGGGAUAACUACUGGAAACGGUAGCUAAUACCGCAUAACGUCGCAAGACCAAAGAGGGGGACCUUCGGGCCUCUUGCCAUCAGAUGUGCCCAGAUGGGAUUAGCUAGUAGGUGGGGUAACGGCUCACCUAGGCGACGAUCCCUAGCUGGUCUGAGAGGAUGACCAGCCACACUGGAACUGAGACACGGUCCAGACUCCUACGGGAGGCAGCAGUGGGGAAUAUUGCACAAUGGGCGCAAGCCUGAUGCAGCCAUGCCGCGUGUAUGAAGAAGGCCUUCGGGUUGUAAAGUACUUUCAGCGAGGAGGAAGGCAUUGUGGUUAAUAACCACAGUGAUUGACGUUACUCGCAGAAGAAGCACCGGCUAACUCCGUGCCAGCAGCCGCGGUAAUACGGAGGGUGCAAGCGUUCAUCGGAAUUACUGGGCGUAAAGCGCACGCAGGCGGUCUGUCAAGUCGGAUGUGAAAUCCCCGGGCUCAACCUGGGAACUGCAUUCGAAACUGGCAGGCUAGAGUCUUGUAGAGGGGGGUAGAAUUCCAGGUGUAGCGGUGAAAUGCGUAGAGAUCUGGAGGAAUACCGGUGGCGAAGGCGGCCCCCUGGACAAAGACUGACGCUCAGGUGCGAAAGCGUGGGGAGCAAACAGGAUUAGAUACCCUGGUAGUCCACGCCGUAAACGAUGUCGACUUGGAG
rnacentral:rRNA from 1 species